UACAGAGGUCUCAAGCGUUGUUCGGAUUCAUUGGGCGUAAAGGGUGUGUAGGUGGCGCUGUAAGUCGGGUGUGAAAUUUCGGAGCUUAACUCCGAAACUGCAUUCGAUACUGCGGUGCUUGAGGACUGGAGAGGAGACUGGAAUUCAUGGUGUAGCAGUGAAGUGCGUAGAGAUCAUGAGGAAGACCAGUGGCGAAGGCGGGUCUCUGGACAGUUCCUGACACUGAGACACGAAGGCCAGGGGAGCAAACGGG
rnacentral:rRNA from 1 species